rnacentral:rRNA from 1 species
GAUGAACGCUGGCGGCGUGCUUAACACAUGCAAGUCGAGCGAGAAGUUUUGAAAAGAUUCUUCGGAUGAAAUUUAAAAUGGAAAGCGGCGGACGGGUGAGUAACGCGUAGGCAACCUGCCCCAUACAAAGGGAUAGCAUUUGGAAACGAAUAUUAAUACCUUAUGAAACUUAACUAGUGCAUGCUAGGUAGGUCAAAGAUUUAUCGGUAUGGGAUGGGCCUGCGUCUGAUUAGCUAGUUGGUGAGGUAACGGCUCACCAAGGCGACGAUCAGUAGCCGACCUGAGAGGGUGAACGGCCACAUUGGAACUGAGACACGGUCCAAACUCCUACGGGAGGCAGCAGUGGGGAAUAUUGCACAAUGGGGGAAACCCUGAUGCAGCAACGCCGCGUGAACGAUGAAGGCCUUUGGGUCGUAAAGUUCUGU